rnacentral:lncRNA from 1 species
GGGGUGGGGGGAUAUCUCAACAUUUUAUGGGCCAGCGAAAAUCCUGCCAUAGAGCUAUCCUUCCAGGCCUUUGUGUCUUGGAAUGCAACUGUCCAGAGUGUGCUGCAUGCAUCGCCUGCUUUGAGAGCCCACCAGUCCCCAAAGCCCCGGCUGGACUUGAUUUCCCCUUUCAAAGGUCCCUCGCCUUUUCUCUCUUCAGUUCAUUUGAUUGUUUGGUUUUUUACAUAUAUUUGGUUGAUUUCGCUCCUCGAACCUGGAAAUAAAGGAACCGCAAGCAGCCAUCCUUGCUGGGGCGUCUCCGUCCCUCGCCCCGAGGCCUGCACCGCCCUCCUAGACACUGUGCAAAAGGAACUGCCGCGAUUUUCCCCGCAACCAGGCGCAUUUCUGGCCUCGGAACACCGCGCAUGCAGACACACGCACCGAAGCUCCCGCGACCGCCUUCCCGUGGCGCGCACUCUAAACUCCUCGCUCCUCUUACCCUGCCGCCUGCUCCGUACCGCCUAUUCCGCCGCCGCCUUCAGGACUUUGGGGUGGGACUCUGACUUCUCCCUGCUCUUUGCCCCCUGGUUUGUGGCCCAGCCCUCUCUCACGCGCGCUCUCUCCACCUCUCCCUCCCAUCCAGUGAGGUCCUGUUCUCCGUGGGCCAUAGACAAAACAUUCCUAUAAUCCGAUUUCAAAGGAAAGAGUGUCCACCUUAUUUAAACCAUAAAACAAUUAAGCCCAGACGUCUAGCCAGCUCCGCGCUGCUGUUUUGUUCGGCCCCAUUCAGAAUCCAGCGCAGGGAGACAAACAGCGCCAUAAAAGUGGCAUUUCGGGGCCUCGGAAAUGUACCUACCCUCUGCCUUCCCAAGUGGAACAACCUUUAGGGUUUUGUGAUUCUGACAAAGGAGCAGAGGAGAGGUGGGAGGGGAGGAUUAGGGCAGGGGGGCGUUUGCAAGCCCCUCUUUCGUCCCCAGCUUUCGUUUCUUUCCCCAGAUGUGUGUCGUGUUGUUGUGGUUUGAGUUCACAAAUGACAAUAAAUAAAAAUCGAAUCCAAUCCUGACCUGCA